UAGGAGCGAGGCUUGCCCGCGAAGAACGAUGACGCGGUCUACCAGAAAUACCGUGGUGUCUGGUUCGCGGGCAAGCCUCGCUCCUA
rnacentral:misc_RNA from 1 species